rnacentral:lncRNA from 1 species
AACAAUGGUCUUUUUCUUUUUUUGAAAUAUUCUCAGUAAAUUCUAUUAGAAUUGUCACAUUUAGGAAUCUCUCUUUCUUUUGAAUUUUAGGAAUAUUAAGUAUGCACUAUUUAUGGCAGUUACCUUGUUGCAAACACAAGCUCUUUUCUUGUUGUGCAGUGGAUAUAUGGCACCAGAGUAUGCGAUGCAUGGUUACCUCACUGACAAAGCCGACAUCUAUAGUUUUGGCAUUGUUGCCUUAGAAGUUGUUAGUGGCCGGAGCAACAGUAGUUCCCAAAAAAAUGAGGAAUGCUUUUAUCUACUUGAUUGGGUAAUCAACUCUAUCAUUUCAAUUAUGAUCGUAUCCAUAUUUAAAUCUCUACUUGUGCUGUUGGAAAAUGGAUUAAGGAAGCGUGAGCAUAGUAUGUAAUUCCUCACAUGCACUUUUAAUUGUUGCAAAGGAGUGUUACAGUUACCAGCUAUUGAAACCUGCUUAACGAAUUGUCGUGCUGUUAAGUGCAAUUUGUCAUUUCAAAUUAAUCUAAUUCUUCUUAUUAUGUUGGUCUACACUGAAUUUUCAUGUAGAUUCUUUUUUUGGAUUGAAGAAAAUUCUAUUCCUUGAAGUUUGGGGUAGUUCAGUUUUAGUCUUUAUGUUUUUAUGCUUGAUGUUCAUACUCCCUGUAGUUCCAUUGGUGCCAAACAAGUCCUUCGACUACUAUUCAAUUUUGGCAAUUACUCUUAUAUUAAAAAAAAAUUCAAGACCAUGUCUUGACUAGAAUAUCCAUAUACUUUCGAUUGAGGUAGAACUUUUUUCACAUUCAUAUAAUUUUGAGUCCUUUAGUUAUAUUUUGUUUUGCUUUGAGUAAGCAAUCAUUAGUAGUCCCCGUUAAAUUUGAUUGUCACCUGAGUUGCAUAAUCAAGUAUUUCUUGUUAAACUAGAAUUGAGAGUAGAAGGCAAUGGAUGGUGUAAAACAUUUCAUGUAAUGACACUGACAAAUAAUUCUUGCUAAUAAAACUCAAUAAAAGCUGGCGAUUUUAAAGCAGUAUUGGUAAGUUUUUGGCAACCGGUGAACCAUUAGUAAGUGAUGUUGGAGUUUACCAACUUUUAAUCAAAAUCGGUAAAGAAAUCAUGUUUGAUCUGUAUUUGACUCAUUUGAGAUGAAAAACUAGUGGGUGCUUAUCAACUGCCUUUGUCACGUAAUAAUCAAGAGACAUAAUAUACUUCCUUCUGUUGUAGUUUUUAGAGCAUAUUUUGCAACUGAUCAGUACCUGAAGCUUGAAAGGGAAAUAUUUUCACUUUUCAUUUCCGUUUCUAGGUACGAGUUUUGAAGGAGAGAGGAAAUUUGAUAGAAUUGGUUGAUCAAAGGCUCGGUUGUCACUUUGACAAAGAGGAGGCGCUAGUAUUGACAAAGGUAGCUCUGAUGUGUACUAAUGCGACUCCAGCACUCAGGCCGCCGAUGUCAUCUGUGGUUAGCAUGCUUGAAGGCAAGGUUGCUGUUCCGGUGCUGGACUCUGGAGGCGCUGUCAUGACUGAGGAGAAAAUUGAGGCCAUGAGGAAGCAUUUUAGAGGUGACAAACAUCAGGCAGUUGGUGAGAAUAUCACCAAGAGUAUGUCCAUUGAUGGGCCAUGGAUUGGAACCACUUCGUCCACAUCCAAUACUUCUGGAUACUGAAUACUUCUGGAUACUGAUUGCUGACAGAAGAAAGAUUUGUUUUGUUCUAAGUAAAAUAGUUCCCCAAAGAACUAGGACUUUAUGAAGUUGUUCUAAGUAAAAUAGUUCCCCAAAGAACUAGGGCUUUAGCUCUUGAAUUUCUCUCCGAAGUCUCUCUUUCGCUUACAUUUGAAACUGAAGGUAUAGAUAAUAUAAAGAAAACAACGUGUUAUGCAGAGCAGUAAUUGUGUAUUGUGAACUCAUUAGUAGGGAAAGCCUGAAGACAAUAGUUUGUGGUUUGGUAGUUGUAUUUGAGCCGUUUCUUUCCAUAUUGUUAUUCAAACAGAGACGAUGUUGCGACUUUUUAUCUCUUCACACAAUAACGAUGCAGAUGGUUGCCACUGCAAGGGAGGGAAUGUAUUAUGGAAGUUCUUCAUUUGUUUGAAUGGCGAGAUGUGCGAAGUGGCACAUUCUUGCUCUGGACAUGUUUUGUUCACUAGCUUGACCCGUUAUAUGUUGCUACUCUAAAAAAAAUUCUUAGCAAACGCAAAUUUUUUCUGUCUUUAGUAUGGAUGAUGGUUGGCCAACUUCGUCUUUCCCAUCUUUGAGAAAUGAGGAAAGAGAAACUUGAUACUUGCAUGUCUACACAAUAUAUAUAUAUAUAUUAUCUGGAAAAAUUUGCAUGUCCAGUCACUAUUUCUUCUCGGUGGAUUACUACCUCAUCAGCUUACUUAUUCCAUUCCAUCAGUGGUUCUGUAUUUAUGAGUCAAUGCCCAAAACGUUCUUAGAUUAAUGUCAAAACAAUCAAACAAGUUGAAACCGAAAUCGAAACCUCAAUGGGUUCAGCAGAUCAUCCUAAGAUUUGAGAGGUGGGGGCCUAGUGAAUAUUGAUGAAGUUGACAUCCCACGAUGAAAAUUGUAGUGUUCCGCGUCAGAGGCGGGUGAUUUGCUGCUGCCACUACAACUACAACCGAGCAAAGCAAAACAGCAGAUUUACUGCAACUUCGUAAAUCCUGAUUCCUGUACCAGCGGACCUCCACAGAAAAUGGAAACCAAAUCCUGUAUCCUAAGUAACUAACCGAAAAAGUACAAAAAAGAAGGUGUUUAUUAAGGAGAAUCCGAUAAGCGCCUGUAUCUUAGUGGACCGUGACCUCUAGGAGUUAUUUUUUUACCCUUUCUUGUCAAAUUAAUACAUAGACUUGAUAUAAGUGGAAAAGAGUUAAUGCCAAGAAAUUGGCAAAGCAUAGAAAUAGGAACGCUUUUUCUUCAAAAGAAAUGGCAAACCACAUCUAUUCACAUUGCCCUUUUCUUUUGUUUUUGUACGUAAGGUAUAUUCCUAAACUUCGGAGCUCAUCUACAAGUAGUUUUGUGGGCCCCUAGUGGGCCCACCUGAGGAAAUCCCAUAAACUCAUAAAUCCCGAUUCAAAGGAGGGGAGUUUUGAAUUCUCCACCUCCCCAUUCCUCUUGGGAAUGGUAGCCACUAGAGCAAGCCUCAAUGGUUCCUCUCUUUGGAUGAUGACAUGUACCUUCAAAAUCCAAAUAAAGUUAGAAAAUACUGAGAUUAAAAACAUUUAAAUUGAAUUGGGAUAUUAUAAAGGAGUAGAGAUUUUACAUACAUGUGGUUAUUGUUAGCCUAAAGAAAAAAAUGUGAACUUGAUAUUUUAAGACAGGUCAUUAGACCCUUGCUCUCGUAUUCAUAUGCUGGAAAUCAUAUCUUUCUUGUCUAAUGUGAUAAAUUUUCCUACAUCUUACUCAUUCGACAAUUGGAUGAAGAUACUCUACCUGAAUCACACGUAUUCUUAUCUGUGUCCGAAUCAAUUCUUAAUCACGUUAAUGCAUGUAGCGAUAUAUUUGCAGUUGGAAUAUGAAAAGACAUUCAUGGAAGUAUCAUGUAGGCAUGAAAGAUUGACAUUUUCUUUGAACACGAUAAAUCAUCCCAUCCAUGGGGAAGUUUCUGAUCUCAAGAAAAAAUGGGACAUGGAAAUUUCAAAAAAGCUAAUAAGCAGAAAUUUCUCCUCCUUAAGUGCGAAAGCAAAAGCANNNNNNNNNNNNNNNNNNNNNNNNNNNNNNNNNNNNNNNNNNNNNNNNNNNNNNNNNNNNNNNNNNNNNNNNNNNNNNNNNNNNNNNNNNNNNNNNNNNNCCUUGCGACAGAUUAAGCUGCCACAAACAAUUUUGACGCUGCCAAUAAGAUAGGAGAAGGUGGUUUUGGUUCUGUAUACAAGGUAUGCUGGAAAAUUGGCAAGCCAAAUUCCCUCAACUCCCAACAGAAAAGAUAUGUAGAAAGCAGCAUUCAAUGUAACUCAAUUUUCACAGCAUAGAUCUGAUGCCAAAGUUGAAUUGCAGGGUUUUCUGUCAGAUGGCACCACUAUAGCAGUGAAGCAGCUUUCAUCCAAAUCACAGCAGGGAAAUCGUGAGUUCCUGACCAAGAUUGGGACGAUUUCUUCUCUUCAGCAUCCACAUCUGGUGAAACUCUAUGGAUGCUGCAUUGAAGGAAAUCAACUUUUGCUGGUUUAUGAGUACAUGGAAAAUAACAGUCUUGCUCGCGCUUUAUUUGGUAAUUUGAUAUCACAUUGUGCUUCACUGACUUCAGUUAAUGACGUGGCAAUAAAGCAGUGUUGAUGUCUUCUGAUACAAUUGAAGGUCCUGAAGAAUUUCAGUUAAAGUUGGAUUGGCGGACAAGACACAAGAUACGUCUGGGUAUUGCCAGGGGCUUGGCAUAUCUUCAUGAAGAAUCAAGGCUGAAGAUUGUGCAUAGAGACAUUAAAGCUACUAAUAUUUUACUGGAUAAGGAUCUCAACCCUAAAAUAUCAGAUUUUGGUUUAGCAAAGCUUGAUGAGGAAGACAACACACAUAUUAGCACCAAGAUUGCUGGAACUUAGUAAGUUUCUUGCUUUAUGUUCCUGUUAACCUAAUUAGGAGUCAGUUACAACAUAAAACAAUGGAGUUGGAACAUAUAGUCUAACUUAAGAAAAGUGAGUUGAAUGGAGUUUUGUGAUCGAUUCACAUCAUCCCAAAGAAUGGAGCUCAACAGAUGUGGCUUAACCACAAAAGUUUAUGCCUGUCCUGCCACUCUUCAUGUCAAAAGAAUGUUAAGUAUGUCACAUAACCUACCAUUAAUAAUGUUACUCUGAUAUUGACUCAUGUAAUCUUUAAUUUGAAUAUAACUGAGUAUUAUAGGCAAUAGAGCUAAUUCACCCAUGUUUCUAUUUUAUACCCAAAGAAAAACAUAAAUAAGCAUGUUCACAUGUUUCAAAAUUUUGCAUUAACAUGUGUGAAAAGUCAACUUGUUUAUGAAAAGAAUGUGAUUAAUUAGGGAAAAGGAUAUAGCUGUAAGUUUGUUCUACUAACUCUAACAUUAAUUCAACAAAAAAGAACUAUAACAUUAAUUAAUUUCCGUUAUCUCAACAAACAUAGAUAAUCUAAUACAAAUUCUGGAAAGUUCGUAUCCUCUUACGGGAGAUUGAUUGAUAAUAUCCUACUGCUCCAUUUACUACAUUAAGAACAAUUCAAGAUAAAUAUUUCAUACAGUAAUUCAGUGUGCCCUACCUAAUGUGUUUACUCAGACAAAAAGCUUGUUUGUGAAACUAUUAUGAUACAAUUAUGAUGCAAUACAUUUUAACAACGCAUAUUGACACGUACUAUUAAGUGUUUUAAUAUGUUUCCCCUAUAACAAUCAACUUAAUGCAAAACAAUUUAAUGCACAUUAACUACUAUAUGUUAAAAUUUCAAUAUGAAUUAUCUAUAUAUACUCCUUUGUAUGAAAAGCACAAUUUUAGUAGAUAUGUCUCACAUGACAUUAACAUAGAGGAUGCACUUUCAAGUGAGUCACAAACAAAAUAAAACCAAAAUAUACAAAGCAAGCACGUGUGUCGCAAGGGUUAGAAAGCUAGCAAGGAAGUGAAAGGCUGUUUUUCUAUUGGUAUGGCAACAAUGAUGACAACAAAACUAAGAAGCUUUGCUGCCCCUAGGCUUGGCUUUACGAAUCCUCCUACGGUCGCUGCCCAUGUAUUCACAGAUCUGGCUCAGCGUGUUUCCCAAUCAUUUUUCAGUCGGAGUGCCUCUUUUCCAAGUUAUGAAAUCAUAUAUGAAGCCUGAUAAUUAUAUAAAACAACUAUGGUCUUUUUCUUUUUUUGAAAUAUUCUCAGUAAAUUCUAUUAGAAUUGUCAUAUUUAGGAAUCUCUCUUUCUUUUGAAUUUUAGGAAUAUUAAGUAUGCACUAUUUAAGGCAGUUACCUUGUUGCAAACACAAGCUUUUUUCUUGUUGUGCAGUGGAUAUAUGGCACCAGAGUAUGCGAUGCAUGGUUACCUCAUUGAUAAAGCCGACAUCUAUAGUUUUGGCAUCGUUGCCUUAGAAGUUGUUAGUGGCCGGAGCAACAGUAGUUC